AUACAUGCAAGUCGAGGGGUAACAGGGGUAGCAAUACCUGCUGACGACCGGCAAACGGGUGCGGAACACGUACGCAACCUCCCCAUAACAGGUGAAUAGCCUUCCGAAAGGGAGAUUAAUACACCGUAACAUAACGAUGAGGCAUCUCAUUGUUAUUAUAGGCUUCGGCCGGUUUUGGAUGGGCGUGCGGCUGAUUAGGUAGUUGGCGGGGUAACGGCCCACCAAGCCUGCGAUCAGUAACUGGUGUGAGAGCACGACCAGUCACACGGGCACUGAGACACGGGCCCGACUCCUACGGGAGGCAGCAGUAAGGAAUAUUGGUCAAUGGACGAAAGUCUGAACCAGCCAUGCCGCGUGAAGGAUGAAGGCCCUCUGGGUUGUAAACUUCUUUUAUCUGGGACGAAAAAAGGGUAUUCUUACUCACUUGACGGUACCAGAGGAAUAAGCACCGGCUAACUCCGUGCCAGCAGCCGCGGUAAUACGGAGGGUGCAAGCGUUAUCCGGAUUCACUGGGUUUAAAGGGAGCGUAGGUGGGCUGAUAAGUCAGUGGUGAAAUCUCCGGGCUUAACCCGGAAACUGCCAUUGAUACUAUCAGUCUUGAAUUAUCUGGAGGUAAGCGGAAUAUGUCAUGUAGCGGUGAAAUGCUUAGAUAUGACAUAGAACACCAAUUGCGAAGGCAGCUUGCUACGGAUUGAUUGACACUGAGGCUCGAAAGCGUGGGGAUCAAACAGGAUUAGAUACCCUGGUAGUCCACGCCCUAAACGAUGGAUACUCGACAUCAGCGAUACACUGUUGGUGUCUGAGCGAAAGCAUUAAGUAUCCCACCU
rnacentral:rRNA from 1 species